CGGGCAGGGACUACCUGCUUCCUGCAUGGACACUGCUUGGAGUCCCUGGAAAGUCAUUUCCCUCCAAUGUUCUAAGUGUGUCACCAACUCACCAGGAAAGGCAUUCACCCAGCAGGAAGAGGGCAACCAGAGAGGGCGAGAGGGCCGCCCACGGUCACCCACAAGCUUAGGAACAAAGUUGGCAGCAUGAGGAGUCUGGGUUCGAAUCCUAGCACAGCCGGUCGGAUCGCUAGCAGUUAAAACCUCAGAAGGACACUAAGACCCCGCAGAAAGCAGGCUCCUGGCUGAGCUUAUAUGAAAAGCCAGAACACUCCACUCAUUCACAGUCCCUGUACUUAUGCGCCUUGGAGAGUGAGGAACCCUGCGAGCGAGGGGCUUCUCCCACGAAGGUGGGAUCCAUGAGAGCCGGAAGCAUUGUUGGGGCUGGGGCCCCAGCAGUCAGAGUGGCCAGUCCCAAGCCUGGGGCAGCAGGCGAUCGUAUUUAAAAAACAAAAUAAAAUACAGAGAAAGAA
ensembl:lncRNA